CGCCCGAACCCUCUCGCACGGGAGAGUCCUCGCACGCGGGACGCGGCUCGACUGGCCUGAUCCUAUCCCCUCUCCUUUCUCCUCGAUCGAUCCAUCCUCCUCGAUCUCUUCUUCCUCGCACCUGGAUCCGCAUCCUCCACGAAUUCUAUCCCUCCCGUAUAGUCAGUCCCGCGCGGGGAAAUAAGUAACUCACUGUAAAAACCAACCUGCCGAGCGCCGAGCCGUACAAUGGACCCCUCACGCUGCCGCCGCGCGCGCUCUCCACACAAAGCGAGGCUAUCUCCGCCGCUGGCAGGCCUGCUCGCGUUUCCUUUCUCCUCCAACCUCCGGCUGCUCUCCGGUAGCUCCGCCCGCCCGCCCGGCCUCCAUCCCGCAGCCCUGUGGCCGAACUCAUCCCAAAACGAGGCCACCACCCUCCGCCAGGAGCGCCUUGGCCACGGGCCGAUGCUGGUGGAUGCCUCCGCUCUGGAGUCUGGAACCAGCGCCGCGCGCGGGAUGGCUUGGCCCGUUGGCUGCUGCCGCGCUAGGAGGAAGCGGGCCGUUGGCCGAUGUCUUGAGCGACAAGCGUGCGUCGAGACGUCGCAGCCAUUGCCUCGUCCAGACCCCUGCAGCUGGAGGUGAGAUGUGUUGGUAACUAUCGUAUGCUCCCAGUACGUUCAACAAUGUAUUGUUUCUCUUGAGCAUGGAAAACUAUCGUAUGCUCCCAAGCGACCGGUUGAUGUUCCUUUAUGUAUUUAGGUAUUACUUAGAUGAAGUCCGGAGAACUUGGAAUUAGCGAGCUCGUGGACACGCCAAGGGCAGGAGGUAUACAUCGCUUGAGCAGAAGCCUGUAUGCAGCGCAUCUCAGUUUUGCCCAAUCUGUAGUAGCACAAUUCAAUCUAUUUAUUCUCUCUUUCUGAUCUCUUUUCUCUGUAUAUGAUCUGCCAUUUUUCUUCCCACCCCUUUGACAUAGAUGAAAAGAAAGAGUGCUCUGAUUAAUACAACUUUAUCUUUGUUGCUACAAGAUUUCAAUAAGUUGCUUUCAACAUGGCCUAUUUUUAUUUCUGGUAGAAAUUGAUAUCGAAUCUGCUGGUGCAUGUUUCUAUUUUUCUCGUGAUUUUCAUUUUCAGGGACUUCAAUCAACUUUUGCCAUGGUAUUGAUACAGCUGCGGCGUUACUCUAUGUGUGUUGUAUUUAUUCAUGUGUCCUUUGUAAUUAGUACCUAAACUAUUCAGUUGCAGGCAAAUUAGAGACACAUAGUUAACAUUGUCUUUGUUGUCUAUCAACGAGCAGACUUUUUUUUU